rnacentral:lncRNA from 1 species
AAAAAGAUGUAUGUGCAUUAUUUUAUGAAAGAUCAUACUUCCUGUGUUCUGGGUUUGUUAAUUGUUCCUAUGUAUAAAAUUCUUUUUUUUUUUUAAUUGGAAAAUCAAGUUUUUUUCAUUAGUCUUGCAUCUCCUAGGAUUCAUUGGAAUUUAAAAUGACUUGGGAGGAGGUUUUCUACUGAUCUUUGUUAAUUCUCUUUCCAUGAAUGCAGACUGAAUUUGUUGAGAUAGAGAGGCCUCCUUCCUCUUUAAGGACUCUUUCAGGUCUAUGAGGUGUUAAUUUCAAAGCCUACUUAAGCUUUGAUUAACUUAAAUGUUAAAAUCAUUAAUCCAGAACUCACAAUUGAAAUCACUUUGUUAAGUAAUAUUUCUCCUUCUAAUUGGUGUAAAAUAUCAUUUGAAUUGUGUGUAUUUUUAAAACUAGAAAAAAGCAGUUUUGUUUUUAAGAAAGACUCCAUCUGUAUAAAUUAAAU